GGGUAACAUGCCCUAAGGUGGGGGAUAAUCUCGGGAAACCGAGGAUAAUACCCCAUAGGUCUGAUAUGCUGGAAUGCUUUCAGGCCGAAAACUCCGGUGCCUUAGGAUUGGCCUGCGGUCUAUCAGGCUGUAGUGGGUGUAAUGGACCCACUAGCCCGUGACGGAUAUGGSCCUUGAGAGAGGGAGCCCAGAGAUGGACUCUGAGACAUGAGUCCAGGCCCUACGGGGCGCAGCAGUCGCGAAAACUUCGCAAUGGGGGCAACCCCGACGAGGGAAUUCCAAGUGCCAGCACUUUGUGUUGGCUGUUCUCCUGUCUAAAAAACAGGAGGAGUAAGGGGCGGGUAAGACGGGUGCCAGCCGCCGCGGUAAUACCCGCGCCCCUAGUGGUGGUCGAUAUUAUUGAGCCUAAAACGUCCGUAGCCGGUCUUCUAAAUCCUUGGGUAAAUCGGGCAGCUUAACUGUCCGAAGUCCGGGGAGACUGGGAGACUUGGGACCGGGAGAGGUCAGAGGUACUUCUGGGGUAGGGGUAAAAUCCUGUAAUCCUGGAAGGACCACCGGUGGCGAAGGCGUCUGACUAGAACGGAUCCGACGGUGAGGGACGAAGCCCUGGGGCGCAAACGGGAUUAGAUACCCCGGUAGUCCAGGGUGUAAACGCUGCGGGCUUGGUGUUGGGGGUCCUUAGUGGGCGCCCAGUGCCGGAGAGAAGUUGUUAAGCCUGCUGCUUGGGGAGUAUGUCCGCAAGGAUGAAACUUAA
rnacentral:rRNA from 1 species